GGUCAAGUUAUUAAGGGUGCAGGGCGGAUGCCUUGGCACUAGGAGCCGAUGAAGGACGUGAUAAGCUGCGAUAAGCUUCGGGGAGUUGCACGUAAACUUUGAUCCGAAGAUUUCCGAAUGAGGAAACUCACUUAGAGUAAUGUCUAAGUAUCAUUAAGUGAAUACAUAGCUUAAUGAGGGGAACUCAGGGAACUGAAACAUCUAAGUACCUGAAGGAAGAGAAAGAAAUUCGAUUCCGUAAGUAGCGGCGAGCGAACGCGGAUUAGCCCAAACCAAUAAAGUUUUCUUUAUUGGGGUUGCGGACAUAUCAUAACGAAGAGGUAUCGUAAUUGAAGAGGUUUGGAAAGACCCACCACAGAAGGUAAUAGUCCUGUAUGUUAAACGAGAAGACUUCAGAUAUGAUCCAGAGUACCACGGGACACGUGAAACCCUGUGGGAAGCAGGAGGGACCACCCUCCAAGGCUAAAUACUACCUAGUGACCGAUAGCGUAUAGUACCGUGAGGGAAAGGUGAAAAGAACCCCGGGAGGGGAGUGAAAUAGAACCUGAAACCCUGCACUUACAAGCUGUGGAAGCACAUUUCUUGUGUGACCGCGUACUUUUUGUAGAACGGGCCAACGAGUUACGUUAAGUAGCAAGGUUAAGCACUUAAGGUGCGGAGCCGUAGCGAAAGCGAGUUUUA
rnacentral:rRNA from 1 species